AAGGGUAUACUCUUAGGCAUUAUUUCUAUGGUUGGUUACUAAAAAAGUUUCUCUGGAUGUGCCGAGUGCCAGAAAUCACGAGAAGGAGGCAAAGCAUUCUGUCCUAAGCGUGAAGCUGGCUCUUGGUGAAGCUGCAUUGCAACCCCAAGUUGCCAUUGAUAAUCAUCCUUCUCAGGAAAGUAAGAGGGAAAGGAUUCAAUCUGAGUGGU
rfam:Otolemur garnettii contig025069, whole genome shotgun sequence.